rnacentral:rRNA from 1 species
GACGAACGCUGGCGGCGUGCUUAACACAUGCAAGUCGAACGGAAAGGCCCUGCUUUUGUGGGGUGCUCGAGUGGCGAACGGGUGAGUAACACGUGAGUAACCUGCCCUUGACUUUGGGAUAACUUCAGGAAACUGGGGCUAAUACCGGAUAGGAGCUCCUGCCGCAUGGUGGGGGUUGGAAAGUUUCGGCGGUUGGGGAUGGACUCGCGGCUUAUCAGCUUGUUGGUGGGGUAGUGGCUUACCAAGGCUUUGACGGGUAGCCGGCCUGAGAGGGUGACCGGCCACAUUGGGACUGAGAUACGGCCCAGACUCCUACGGGAGGCAGCAGUGGGGAAUAUUGCACAAUGGGCGGAAGCCUGAUGCAGCAACGCCGCGUGCGGGAUGACGGCCUUCGGGUUGUAAACCGCUUUCGCCUGUGACGAAGCGUGAGUGACGGUAAUGGGUAAAGAAGCACCGGCUAACUACGUGCCAGCAGCCGCGGUGAUACGUAGGGUGUGAGCGUUGUCCGGAUUUAUUGGGCGUAAAGGGCUCGUAGGUGGUUGAUCGCGUCGGAAGUGUAAUCUUGGGGCUUAACCCUGAGCGUGCUUUCGAUACGGGUUGACUUGAGGAAGGUAGGGGAGAAUGGAAUUCCUGGUGGAGCGGUGGAAUGCGCAGAUAUCAGGAGGAACACCAGUGGCGAAGGCGGUUCUCUGGGCCUUUCCUGACGCUGAGGAGCGAAAGCGUGGGGAGCGAACAGGCUUAGAUACCCUCGUAGUCCACGCUGUAAACGGUGGGUACUAGGUGUGGGGUCCAUUCCACGGGUUCCGUGCCGUAGCUAACGCUUUAAGUACCCCGCCUGGGGAGUACGGCCGCAAGGCUAAAACUCAAAGGAAUUGACGGGGCCCCGCACAAGCGGCGGAGCAUGCGGAUUAAUUCGAUGCAACGCGUAGAACCUUACCUGGGUUUGACAUGGAUCGGGAGUGCUCAGAGAUGGGUGUGCCUCUUUUGGGGUCGGUUCACAGGUGGUGCAUGCCUGUCGUCAGCUCGUGUCGUGAGAUGUUGGGUUAAGUCCCGCAACGAGCGCAACCCUUGUUCACUGUUGCCAGCACGUUAUGGUGGGGACUCAGUGGAGACCGCCGGGGUCAACUCGGAGGAAGGUGGGGAUGACGUCAAGUCCUCAUGCCCCUUAUGUCCAGGGCUUCACGCAUGCUACAAUGGCUGGUACAGAGAGUGGCGAGCCUGUGAGGGUGAGCGAAUCUCGGAAAGCCGGUCUCAGUUCGGAUUGGAGUCUGCAACUCGACCUCAUGAAGUCGGAGUCGCUAGUAAUCGCAGAUCAGCAACGCUGCGGUGAAUACGUUCCCGGGGCC